AUAGCUUGGGAAAACUCUUUCACAGAUAGUGUCUCUUCCUUCCCCACAUCACACCACUGACGCUCCUCAGCUGUAAGAUCAGAGAAGUGCCACAGAAAGGCAGAGCCUGGUGACAGGAGUCAGGUGGCGGGACAUUGUAUUCUCAGCACUGGUGUAUCCUCAGCACUGGGGGUAACAGGAGUCGGCGGGACAUUGUAUUCUCAGCACUGGGGGUGACAGGAGUCAGGUGGCAGGACAUUGUAUUCUCAGCACUGGGGGUGACAGGAGUCAGGUGGCGGGACAUUGUAUUCUCAGCACUGGGGGUGACACGAGUCAGGUGGCAGGACAUUGUAUUCUCAGCACUGGGGGUGACAGGAGUCGGGUGGCAGGACAUUGUAUUCUCAGCACUGGGG